AGGUAAUAGAUACCCCGGUAGUCCACGCCCUAAACGAUGUCGACUGGUUGUUGGGGGUUUGACACUCUCAGUAAACGAAAGCUAAACGCGUGAAAGUCGACCGCCUGGGGAGUACGGCCGCAAGGUUAAAACUCAAAGGAAUUGACGGGGACCCGCACAAGCGGUGGAUUAUGUGGAUUAAUUCGAUGCAACGCGAAAAACCUUACCUACCCUUGACAUGUCCUGAAUCCCGCUGAGAGGUGGGAGUGCCCGAAAGGGAACGGGAACACAGGUGCUGCAUGGCUGUCGUCAGCUCGUGUCGUGAGAUGUUGGGUUAAGUCCCGCAACGAGCGCAACCCUUGUCAUUAGUUGCUACAUUCAGUUGGGCACUCUAAUGAGACUGCCGGUGACAAACCGGAGGAAGGUGGGGAUGACGUCAAGUCCUCAUGGCCCUUAUGGGUAGGGCUUCACACGUAAUACAAUGGCGCGUACAGAGGGUUGCCAAGGGGUGACCUGGAGCCAAUCCCACAAAGCGCGUCGUAGUCCGGAUUGCAGUCUGCAACUCG
rnacentral:rRNA from 1 species